rnacentral:rRNA from 1 species
UGGGUAAUCUUUGAACGUGAAUCGUGCUGGGGAUAGAUGAUUGCAAUUAUUCAUCUUCAACGAGGAAUUCCUAGUAAACGCAAGUCAUCAGCUUGCAUUGAUUACGUCCCUGCCCUUUGUACACACCGCCCGUCGCACCUACCGAUUGAAUGGUCCGGUGAAAUCUUCGGAUCUGAGAGAUGUUGGAUUAAUUUCUGACGCCUUUUAGAAAAGUCGCUUAAACCUUAUCAUUUAGAGGAAGGUGAAGUCGUAACAAGGUUUCCGUAGGUGAACCUGCGGAAGGAUCAUUA